AUCAAAGCAUCAGGAACUCUCUCCAGAUCGGGAACAUCAAAGGCCUUUGCACUUUGGCAUGGGAAAGCCUUCUCAGGAAAACAAAUACAGAGCAGCUCUGGUCAAGAUCCCAGUGUACUCUGGCUCGGCUCAUGACACACACAGGCUGUGAAUUUCUAACAUCGUGAAAAGGAUGUCAGUAAUUUCAAACCACAGAUGGAAGAUGAUGUCCAUCCUCCCUCACAUCUGCCUGGACUUGCAGGAGCACUAAGGAACCUUGGGGGUAAGCAGCUGUGCAAGAGAGCGAUACCGUGCGUGCCCAGGCAGGCCAGCUUGCGUGUGAGGGAUUGCAGGAGCCAGCCCGUGAG